UAAACAGAUAAAUUACACUACAGCGCCUCAGAGGCUUAACACUUAGGCUUAGCCUCUACAGUAGUCUCCCAAAAGAGCACUGCAUGAUGGGUUGGCAUUAUGCAACAUCGGGUCCAAAAUCUCAAGUUGGUUUAACUUGGUGAUACUGUCUUGUGAUGAUUUACAACCGUCACAU